GAUCAUGGCUCAGGAUGAACGCUAGCUACAGGCUUAACACAUGCAAGUCGAGGGGCAGCAUUUCAGUUUGCUUGCAAACUGGAGAUGGCGACCGGCGCACGGGUGAGUAACACGUAUCCAACCUGCCGAUAACUCGGGGAUAGCCUUUCGAAGAAAGAUUAAUACCCGAUGGCAUAAUUAGACCGCAUGGUCUUAUUAUUAAAGAAUUUCGGUUUAUCGAUGGGGAGUGCGUUCCAUUAGG
rnacentral:rRNA from 1 species